UGUUUAGUUCUCAAGAGACAAAAAACCCUGACAUCUGGGGAAGUCAGAUUCUGGCUUUUUGCCCUCCAUUCUGCUCUGCCCUUUUCCUCCUUCCUUUCCACAGGGCUUAGUCUCACAGAAAUGCUUUGGGAUGCAUUGCUGGAACAGCUCUGAAGAAAAUACGUAUGACAAGAAGCUGGAUAAAGAGCUCCUAUCUCUGAAGAGUCAUGCACAACAUUGAGAGAGCAUGCUAAAACAGCUCAAACAACUUGGGUCUCCCUCGUGUUGUAUACACUUUUCUUUAAAACAAAACAAACAAGCAAAAAACAACCAACCGAACAAAAUACCUAACUGAUUACAGGCUGAGUUUCCAGAUGGGUACAUGGCGGAAGGUCAUCAGUCAACAUGCUGCAUGCUGGUCCUUGGUUGAGGAGUGUAAACUUAGCAGCAGCACAGUGGGUCGUAAUUUCAAGCAUCAGAGAAGCAAAAGCCAUCCUUCAGUGAGAAAUUGGCAAUGGAAUUCGCCAUUCCAGAAAAAGAAGCAUCAAUAUAGAGAAAGAAGAAAAAUAUUCUGUGUCAUACUUGGUGAAAUGUGAUAUAGAUAUAAAUUUAGAACAUGUCAAGUCUUCUAAAAAAUUCCAUCUGGCUUAAGGUGACCUCUGUCUCGGGGAGCUGAAUGCACUGCAGAGACCCUCAAAUGGCAUGGGAUGCUGAGAAGAUGUCCAGCGGCUGCGAUGUAAACUUGGAGACAUCCUAAAUCUCACAUAGCACUUUGCCUUUUUGCUAGUCUAAAUAAGCUAAUGAAUGUACCUCUAGCUACGCCACAAUCAAUCCUGAGGAGAAUGAAAGUCAGUGAGUCCCACUCAAAAACGAACAUGAAAAAUCCUAUUUCUUCUAUUUAUUUAAACCCUUCCUUCAUCUGGCAUCAGAAAGGAAUAUAUUUAAGUCAGGAGCUGAUCUGUAUCACAGAAGAAAGUGUGUUGCUAGGAAAGCACAUAACAGCCAAGAAUGGACACAGCUGAUAUCUAAAGGGUGGUAAGCUGUGAGCUGACUAGAUUACACAGAUCUGUGAGAUGCUGAAUCUAUUAUCACUCUUGGGGUUUAUCACUGUUUAUCUUUGCAGAUCAACUUCCAAUUCACUUCAAAGUCAGUUGCCCUCACAUAGUCCUCCGUAGUACCAUGUCAAUAUAAGUUUAUGUACAGCAGUAAAAAUGUAAGUAUCUAUUCGGUGUACCUACUGAAUAGGCUAUGGUAAUAGAAUCUUGUUUUGGGGAAAAGAGGUAGAUAUAACGGUUCAAUCAUCAUUAGGAUGAGGAACAGUUAGGUUAGAUACUUUCAGCAACAUGAAGACUUUCAAAUAAGUCCUCUCCCAGGGAAAUGCGUUCUGUUAGAUCUGUUUCUUUGUGCAAGAGCAAACUAAAGGUUUAAGGAUGUCAGAGCAGAAAGAAAGGAAUAAUUUGACCUUUGGUGUAUCUAGUCAGUUUUGCAGGUAGAAGUGAGCUGUCUCUCUCCAGACUUCAUGCUGACUGAAGUUGAUCUAGAUUUAAGUCAAAACCCAAGGCUAGUAAGUAAUCUGAAGGGCAGGAUUUAUUAAAU
ensembl:lncRNA